rnacentral:rRNA from 1 species
GACGAACGCUGGCGGCGUGCUUAACACAUGCAAGUCGAACGGAAAGGCCCUGCUUUUGUGGGGUGCUCGAGUGGCGAACGGGUGAGUAACACGUGAGUAACCUGCCCUUGACUUUGGGAUAACUUCAGGAAACUGGGGCUAAUACCGGAUAGGAGCUCCUGCUGCAUGGUGGGGGUUGGAAAGUUUCGGCGGUGGGGGAUGGACUCGCUGCUUAUAAGCUUGUUGGGGGGGUAGUGGCUUACCAAGGCUUUGACGGGUAGCCGGCCUGAGAGCGUGACCGGCCACAUUGGGCCUGCGAUACGGCCCAGACUCCUACGGGCGGCAGCAGUGGGGAAUAUUGCACAAUGGGCGGAAGCCUGAUGCAGCAACGCCGCGUGCGGGAUGACGGCCUUCGGGUUGUAAACCGCUUUCGCCUGUGACGAAGCGUGAGUGACGGUAAUGGGUAAAGAAGCACCGGCUAACUACGUG